GACGAACACUGGCGGCGUGCUUAACACAUGCAAGUCGAACGGAAAGGCCCUGCUUGCAGGGUACUCGAGUGGCGAACGGGUGAGUAACACGUGGGUGAUCUGCCCUGCACUUCGGGAUAAGCCUGGGAAACUGGGUCUAAUACCGGAUAGGAGCCAUUUUUAGUGUGAUGGUUGGAAAGUUUUUUCGGUGUAGGAUGAGCUCGCGGCCUAUCAGCUUGUUGGUGGGGUAAUGGCCUACCAAGGCGGCGACGGGUAGCCGGCCUGAGAGGGUGGACGGCCACAUUGGGACUGAGAUACGGCCCAGACUCCUACGGGAGGCAGCAGUGGGGAAUAUUGCACAAUGGGCGCAAGCCUGAUGCAGCGACGCCGCGUGGGGGAUGACGGCCUUCGGGUUGGAAACUCCUUUCGCUAGGGACGAAGCUUUUUGUGACGGUACCUAGAUAAGAAGCACCGGCUAACUACGUG
rnacentral:rRNA from 1 species